rnacentral:lncRNA from 1 species
GGGGAGUAGCCGAGGGUACUCGGCGAGUUGAAGUCAACAUGGACUGUUGGCCUUGACUGAGGAAUUUUACUUUGACCAGGGGUUGACUAGUGGGUUAUGGAGUACCUUAUAAGGUUAAGGACUUAUGAGUAUGUUGUACUAUGAUAAUAGGUGGUGGAGCCUGUGUCAAGUGAUCCGAGAGUUGGUGUUUACCUUCUGAGUCGACAUCUACGAGGUGAGUUAUCCUCACUAUAUCGAUAGGGUCUACGGCACCAAGGCCGACCCUUUGGUUGUUAUUGUUAUNCUACGGCACCAAGGCCGACCCUUUGGUUGUUAUUGUUAUGGUAUGAUACAUGGGGCUAUUAUCUGUUAGAUCGGAAUCAGGGUAGACAGUAUGUUAUGCUCUUAUGAUCCGUAGGGAUUGGUAUGUUAGUGACCUGCUAGGUCGGUGCUCUAGUUACGAGUUAAUUCUAC